CUCCUACGGGAGGCAGCAGUAGGGAAUCUUCCGCAAUGGACGAAAGUCUGACGGAGCAACGCCGCGUGAGUGAUGAAGGUUUUCGGAUCGUAAAGCUCUGUUGUUAGGGAAGAACAAGUACCGUUCGAAUAGGGCGGUACCUUGACGGUACCUAACCAGAAAGCCACGGCUAACUACGUGCCAGCAGCCGCGGUAAUACGUAGGUGGCAAGCGUUGUCCGGAAUUAUUGGGCGUAAAGGGCUCGCAGGCGGUUUCUUAAGUCUGAUGUGAAAGCCCCCGGCUCAACCGGGGAGGGUCAUUGGAAACUGGGGAACUUGAGUGCAGAAGAGGAGAGUGGAAUUCCACGUGUAGCGGUGAAAUGCGUAGAGAUGUGGAGGAACACCAGUGGCGAAGGCGACUCUCUGGUCUGUAACUGACGCUGAGGAGCGAAAGCGUGGGGAGCGAACAGGAUUAGAUACCCUGGUAGUCCACGCCGUAAACGAUGAGUGCUAAGUGUUAGGGGGUUUCCGCCCCUUAGUGCUGCAGCUAACGCAUUAAGCACUCCGCCUGGGGAGUACGGUCGCAAGACUG
rnacentral:rRNA from 1 species